AUACGGAGGGUGCAAGCGUUACUCGGAAUCACUGGGCGUAAAGCGCGCGCAGGCGGCUAUUUAAGUUGGAUGUGAAAGCCUACGGCUCAACCGUAGAACUGCAUCCAAAACUAUUUAGCUAGAGUGUGGGAGAGGAAGAUGGAAUUAGUUGUGUAGGGGUAAAAUCCGUAGAGAUAACUAGGAAUACCAAAAGCGAAGGCAAUCGUCUGGAACACUACUGACGCUGAGGCGCGAAAGCGUGGGGAGCAAACGGGAUUAGAAACCCUAGUAGUCC
rnacentral:rRNA from 1 species